AGAAAUACGAAAUUUAUUUUGAAAAUGAAACUACCUAUAUUCCAAUUGCAUGUGUCUUUGUUAGUAAUGCGCAUAAAGUUCUAGAAAAUUUGAUGGUAAGAGAACAGAAACGGCAUAUGGUAGACUAUCCAUAUAUCCGUACAUACAUGCAUAAUAUAUAUAUAUAUUGUUAGUUGACCUUCCCAUGCAUAGAAACAAGUGCC
rnacentral:lncRNA from 1 species